rnacentral:tRNA from 1 species
CUUACCUUAGUAUAUCUUAAAGUAUUUUUAUUUUUCGUAUAGAUGGUGUGGCAUUUGCUUCAGGUAGGA